rnacentral:lncRNA from 1 species
GCUUGAGAGAGAAAAGGACACAGAUGAAGAGUCACAUAGGGUGAAGUAUAGAGUGGUUGAGCGCCCCGUCUCUACACUUCACCUUUUGUAUCUCUUCAUAUGUAUCCUUUGUAAUAUACUUUAUAAUAAACCAAUAAUCGCAAAUGGAGCCCCACUCUGUUGCCCAGACUGGAGUGCAGUGGCGUGAUCUCGGCUCACCGCAACUUCCGCCUCCCGGGUUCAAGUGAUUCUCCUGCCUCAGCCUUCCAACUAGCUGGGAUUGCAGGUAAUGAGCUAUGUGACUAAUUUCUGGCCAAUGGAAUGUGAAGAGAAGG